GUAGGGAAUAUUGCACAAUGGGGGAAACCCUGAUGCAGCGACGCCGCGUGAGUGAUGAAGGCCUUCGGGUCGUAAAGCUCUGUCGUAUGGGAAUAACAGAAUGAAUGUACCAUGCAAGAAAGGAUCGGCUAACUUCGUGCCAGCAGCCGCGGUAAGACGAGGGAUCCUAGCGUUGUUCGGAAUCAUUGGGCGUAAAGCGGGUGUAGGCGGACUUGUAAGUCAGGUGUGAAAUCCCAGGGCUCAACCCUGGAAGUGCACUUGAUACUGCAAGCCUUGAGUGUGGUAGAGGCUAUUAGAAUUCCUGGUGUAGUGGUGAAAUACGUAGAUAUCAGGAGGAAUACCGGAGGCGAAGGCGGAUAGCUGGGCCAACACUGACGCUGAGACCCGAAAGCGUGGGGAUCAAACAGGAUUAGAAACCCCGGUAGUCC
rnacentral:rRNA from 1 species